CCUGUAGUUGGAGAAGAAGUCCGGCUCCCGUAGGAGCUCGGAUGAAGUCUGCAAGGUGGUCGACCACCGCGAAAACUUGGGUGGAGUCCGUCCGUCAUGGAGAAUCUAGUCGAGACUGAUGGGGGCUUAUCCGUCGGCAGAACUCGGGAACGUUGCAGAGGCUCGGCCGUCGGAGAGGUUCGGAAAGAUGUCGCCGAAGGUCGGACAUCGGUAAAAUCCCUGGAGGGUCACUCCUGACAUGAACUUCUGCUGGGGG
rnacentral:lncRNA from 1 species